rnacentral:rRNA from 1 species
GACGAACGCUGGCGGCGUGCCUAAUACAUGCAAGUCGAGCGGGGUUACUACGUCAGAUUCCUUCGGGAAGACGAUGUUUUAACCUAGCGGCGGACGGGUGAGUAACGCGUGGGUAACCUGCCCUAGAGACCGGGAUAACAACGGGAAACCGUUGCUAAUACCGGAUACCUUUACAGGGAGGCAUCUUUCUGUAAAGAAAGCAUAAGCGCUCUAGGAUGGGCCCGCGUCCCAUUAGCUAGUUGGUGAGGUAACUGCUCACCAAGGCGACGAUGGGUAGCCGGCCUGAGAGGGUGACCGGCCACACUGGGACUGAGACACGGCCCAGACUCCUACGGGAGGCAGCAGUAGGGAAUAUUGCGCAAUGGGCGAAAGCCUGACGCAGCGACGCCGCGUGAGUGAUGAAGGCCUUCGGGUCGUAAAACUCUGU